UGUCAGGACACUCCACCCUAACGUGGAGCGCCUAUCUGGAAGGAUAGUCAAA
rfam:Rhizobium sp. Root564 contig_17, whole genome shotgun sequence.